GACGAACGCUGGCGGCGUGCUUAACACAUGCAAGUCGAACGCUGAAGCUCAGCUUUUGUUGGGUGGAUGAGUGGCGAACGGGUGAGUAACACGUGAGUAACCUGCCUCCUUCUUUGGGAUAACGCCCGGAAACGGGUGCUAAUACUGGAUAUUCACUGGUCUUCGCAUGGGGGUUGGUGGAAAGGGUUUUUCUGGUGGGGGAUGGGCUCGCGGCCUAUCAGCUUGUUGGUGGGGUGAUGGCCUACCAAGGCUUUGACGAGUAGCCGGCCUGAGAGGGUGACCGGGAACAUGGGGACGGAGACACGGCCCAGACUCCGACGGGAGGCAGCAGUGGGGAAGAUGGCACAAUGGGCGAAAGCCUGAUGCAGCGACGCCGAGUGAGGGAUGGAGGCCUUCGGGUUGUGAAACUCUUUCGCUAAUGGUCAAGCCGCAACAAUGGUUGUGGUGAGGGUAGUGGGUAAAGAAGCGCCGGCUAACUACGUG
rnacentral:rRNA from 1 species